GAUGAACGCUAGCGGCAGGCUUAAUACAUGCAAGUCAAGGGGUCAGCAAUGGCACCGGCGGACGGGUGAGUAACGCGUACACAACGUACCUUUAACUGGGGGAUAGCAUUUGGAAACGAGUGGUAAUACCGCAUGUGGUUGCAGGGAGGCAUCUUUUUGCAACUAAAACUCAGGUGGUUAAAGAUCGGUGUGCGUCCGAUUAGCUUGUUGGUGAGGUAAUGGCUCACCAAGGCGACGAUCGGUAGGGGGCGUGAGAGCGUGAACCCCCACACGGGUACUGAGACACGGACCCGACUCCUACGGGAGGCAGCAGUAAGGAAUAUUGGUCAAUGGAGGCAACUCUGAACCAGCCAUGCCGCGUGGAGGAAGAAGGCGCUAUGCGUUGUAAACUUCUUUUGGGUGGGAAGAAAAUGGUCAAUUUAUUGACAACUGACGGUACCAUCAGAAUAAGCACCGGCUAACUCCGUGCCAGCAGCCGCGGUAAU
rnacentral:rRNA from 1 species